GAAAAACCUCCCCGAGGUGGCUCUGAUGUGCAGGACAGAAAAUUAGGCGCAGGAACAACAAAGUUGAAAGAAUUACAUGGGACAGCUUGUAUUAGUGCAUUAUCUGGGUCAUGGGGAAAUGAUCCUAAUGGAGAAGUAUAUCAAGUGUAUAAAAUGAACUUCCUUUGCAACAUCAAGGAAGUUAAAUAUUCCAGUUUUAUCCUUUUGCUU
rnacentral:misc_RNA from 1 species